rnacentral:rRNA from 1 species
AACGAACGCUGGCGGCAUGCCUAACACAUGCAAGUCGAACGAGACCUUCGGGUCUAGUGGCGCACGGGUGCGUAACGCGUGGGAACCUGCCCUUAGGUUCGGAAUAACUCCCCGAAAGGGGUGCUAAUACCGGAUAAUGUCUUCGGACCAAAGAUUUAUCGCCUUUGGAUGGGCCCGCGUUGGAUUAGCUAGUUGGUAGGGUAAAAGCCUACCAAGGCGACGAUCCAUAGCUGGUCUGAGAGGAUGAUCAGCCACACUGGGACUGAGACACGGCACAGACUGGUAGAGGAGGAAGCAGUGGGGAAUAGUGAAGAAUGGGAGGGAGCGUGAUGCAGAAAAGUCGCGUGCGGGAGGACGGCAUGCGGGUGGGAAACAGAUUUGGCCUGUGACGAAGCGGGAGUGACGGGAAUGGGUAAAGAAGCACCGGCGAACUACGUG